rnacentral:lncRNA from 1 species
CUUUGCUGUAGAGUGUGACUGCCAGUAGUUAAAAUUUUGCUUGACAGAGGAAGCUGCUUCUUGGAUUAUAAGGACGUGUUUCAAUGUAUGCGUACAGCCUGUUCUACACUUGAUGCUGGGGAUUUUGCAUGACUUUCAUAGAGAGCAAUAACUUUUAUUUUACUUUCCAGAGACAGACAUCCACAUGCUGUUUUGUAAGGAUACACAUAACCACUGGAUAUAACCAUGUUUUUGUGGCUAGAACUCUUGGUGUUUGGCUUGGCUCUUGUGGACAUGGAAGUUUUCAUAAAUGGCCAAUCAACACCACCACAAACAACAUCUAUUAUGAAAACAACAAAUGGAAAAACAACUCCUGACUUUUCAUUGACACCUUCACGCACCACUCCAUUCUCACCUGCAAGCACCUUUGAAGCAAAGCCUGGUUCUCCAACCAACGAAACAGUGCUUCCUCCUGUUUCUCAGGCUGUUAAUUUUACUGAAACCUCUCUUACCAAAGAAAGUGUGGCUUUCACUACUACUUCUGCUUCCCUCACUAUCUCAGGUUUGCUUUAGCGAUUCAGGCAUAAGGAAACUGGGCUAAACCGAGAAUUUCAAGUCAUAAGGCCUAGUAAAUAUUGUCCGUUUGCAAUGAGAAAGCUCUGUGUCUACAUUGCAAAAGCUGAACUCCUUAGGGCUGGGGCUCUUGAUUAUACUAAGUUGCAAUGCAGGAAUGAAGUUAAUGGUGAUAGCUCUGCUCUCUGUCUGGAAUGGUCAGUCUCUAUAUUAGCUUUCCCCAAUCUGGUGCCUCUCAGAUGUAUUAGACCAGGGCUGUCAAACUUGCGGCCCGCAGGCCAGAUGUGUCACGUGCUGGCCACGCCCACACCUGGUUUAGCAAAGGGAAAAAAAGUUGUGUUACAUCACGUGAUGAAGCAAGUUUGACGCCCCUGUGUUAGACCCAUAACUCUCCAAAUUCCCAUAGACUGGGACUGGUAUACUGGGAAUGCUGGGAACUACUCCUCUGAACCCCUCUGGAUGGCAUCAGGCUAGCAAAGGUUGUUUAUGUAUGUAGCUAGACAAUGAAGUGGGAAAUAAGACAGCAGUACUUUCUGUAGUGUCUGAGAUGUAAAUACAGGGAAAGUGCUGAAGGGGAUGUAUCUCAUCAAGGCACAAGCUGGCCUUAGGUCUACUUUGUUUUAUGCACCAGCAAAGGUUGAACCUCUAGGGAGCCUCCAGCUAGCCUUGUCUGUUAAGUGAUAUUCAGAACUACCUCCUCCUCCUGCUGCUGAAAAUUUUGAGAUUCGGGAAUGUUAACAGUGUGGCAAUAAGUGAAACAAUUAGUGGGACUCCUGUGCUAUGACUAUGCCCUAAGAUAAUCAGAUAAUCAGAUGCUUGGGCCAAUAUGCAACAUUAUGCAUCUGAUUCAGAGUGAGAUGGAUGGUAUCUAAAUUUGACAAAUAAAUCAAAUGUUAUAAAAUAUUCAUGCAUCUCUGUUCGUACACACACACACAUACCUUUUGUGUGUCAGGUAGACAUUUUCCAUUUUAUGAGUUAACAUAGAAUUAACAUGUUGAAAGUCAACCUCUAUUUGUUUUUGGGAUUUUUUUCCUACAAGCUGAGGCAUAAGUUAUAGGACAUUGAUCAUCUGAAUCUUACAUCUUCCUCAUCUAACAUCUUCCUUUUUCGCAAAAUUGCAAGAGAGCAAUAUUUCAACCAAUUGUGUAGUUGCCAAAGCUUGGCAAGUCCCUUUGACUUUAGUGAAACUUAUUCUCAGAUAAGUAUACAUCGCAAUCUUGCUCAGCCUGAGCAUUCUUCUGAUGUGCUGGACUCCAACUCCCAGGAUGCUUAGUAAUCUAUCCUUUAACAAUGCAGGCUGGGGGAAUUAGGGGAGCUGGUCCAGCAUAUCUGGAGAACAUCACAUUGGGAAAGGAUGGCAUAUAAAACUGCUAUUUGAUUAAGUUGUGACAUUCUGAUAGACAAAUUAUAUUUUUGUGCUCUGACCAUGGAAGGCAAGACUUCUCAAUCUAUGGAUUGAAUCCCCUGGAAGUUUCAAGCAACUUGUGUGUGUAUGUUUGUGUCUAUCAUUUUGCAUACAUAUGUAUGUGAGUUGAAAAAUUUGAUUGGACUGAUGCAGGAAGAAUAAACAUGCUGUGAAAACAUGCUAUGGGAUUUGGUCCUGCUUCUGUCUGCAAAACCUACAGUGAGCAGUUGCAGUACCACAAAGUUUCACAACCCUUAUGUUAUUUAGAUUAGCAUAUUAAUAGAUUAGAUAUAGAUUAGCAGUGGU